rnacentral:sRNA from 1 species
ACCUCGCGGACUGCUGUGGCGGCAGCUGGAGCGGCGGCCGCGGUGGCAGAACCGGGGUGGCCGCUGCAACCUGGAGCCCCGUGGUGCGGGGCCGCGGCCAGGCCACAGGAAGAGCUCGAGGCCCGGGCCGCACCGGCUGAGUGUGCGGGCCCGCGCGGCUCGGAGCCGCCGCCGCCCGUCGAGCCCCUCCGGGCGCCGAUCGGCCCGCCAUGGGGUCCCUGUUCCGGAGCGAGACCAUGUGCCUGGCGCAGCUCUUCCUGCAGUCGGGCACGGCCUACGAGUGCCUCAGCGCCCUGGGCGAGAAGGGCCUGGUCCAGUUCCGAGACCUCAACCAGAACAUAAGUUCUUUCCAAAGAAAAUUUGUUGGUGAGGUGAAGCGGUGUGAAGAGCUAGAGCGAAUAUUGGUGUAUUUGGUACAGGAAAUUAAUAGAGCUGAUAUUCCCCUUCCUGAAGGAGAGGCCAGCCCUCCUGCACCACCCCUGAAACAGGUUCUAGAAAUGCAGGAGCAGUUGCAGAAGCUCGAGGUUGAACUGAGAGAAGUCACUAAGAACAAGGAGAAACUGAGGAAAAACUUGCUGGAACUGAUAGAGUACACUCACAUGCUGAGAGUGACAAAGACCUUUGUGAAACGCAACGUUGAGUUUGAACCCACUUAUGAAGAAUUCCCUUCCUUAGAGAGCGAUUCUUUGUUGGAUUACAGCUGUAUGCAGAGGCUGGGAGCAAAACUGGGAUUUGUGUCUGGCCUAAUUAACCAAGGAAAAGUGGAAGCAUUUGAAAAAAUGUUGUGGAGAGUCUGCAAAGGGUACACCAUUGUGUCCUAUGCAGAACUGGAUGAAUCCCUCGAAGACCCUGAAACAGGGGAAGUCAUAAAAUGGUAUGUCUUUUUAAUAUCCUUUUGGGGAGAGCAGAUUGGCCACAAGGUUAAGAAGAUAUGUGAUUGCUACCACUGCCACGUGUACCCCUAUCCAAACACAGCCGAGGAGCGGAGGGAGAUCCAGGAGGGGCUGAACACCCGCAUCCAAGAUCUCUACACUGUACUGCACAAAACCGAGGACUAUUUGAGGCAAGUGCUAUGUAAAGCCGCCGAGUCUGUCUACAGCCGUGUGAUCCAGGUGAAGAAAAUGAAGGCCAUCUAUCACAUGCUGAACAUGUGCAGCUUUGACGUGACCAACAAGUGCCUCAUUGCUGAGGUCUGGUGUCCUGAGGCGGAUCUGCAGGACCUGCGCUGGGCGCUGGAGGAGGGCUCGGUAAGGCUGCCUUCCUCUCCUCUGCCAGGAACAGAAGAGAGACUGAUGGAACUGAUAAAUUCAGAGAAAAAAAGGAAGUGAGAAUUUCAUAGAGUAAUGAGAAUGCUGUGUGUUGACUCUUCUUUUGUUUUUUUAAAAUAUUAAUUAAAAAAAAUUAAAAUAGAGAUGGGGUUUUGCUGUGUUGCCCAGGCUGAUCUCAAACUCCUGGCCCCAAGCGAUCCUCCUGCCUGAG